GUACUGUUUGUCUACAUUAUUUCGAAUGCGCAUUUGUGUGUGUGUCUCUUGCUGAUUGGCGAGCAUUCAUUAAACAGCGACACUGCACCAACCUGUUCUAGCUAGCUAAAUUUGCUAACAGUAGCUAGCUAACGUUAGCAAGCUGUGUGCAUACGGCAUACCAUAGCAGGCAGCAAUGUUAUAAUGCAAUACAUUAAUUUAGAAGAAAUAUGCUAUGCUAAAAAUGAUUUGAUUAGGCUCGGUUAGUCAAUGCACGGCUUGGCACACGUCCCCAGGAAUCCUACCGCUAGCUGAUUAACUGGCUGGUAAAAACAGCAGCGAGCCGACGGCCACCACCACAACAUGAGUCAGAUUAACGUUAGAUGUCGCGCUCUUUGAAUACUCUCUCUGCUACUGAUGAUGAUGCUGCUCAUCUUUCAUUUCAGUUUUACGGCGGCGGAGGGAGAUUCUCUACUAUGACAAUUGGUAUAUUUAGUUACCUAGGCAGUGUUGAUUGAUAGUUACAGAUUGUCAGCAGCCAUUAUCAACACUGAUAUCGGAUGGCUUUGGAAAAUGUUGAAACCAAUGUUGAUCAUCAGAAUCCUCAAUUAAUCUGUUUGUCUUGCUCAUCAGGAGGCAGAAAAUGGAAACCGUGGAAAAAUGGAACAAAUGCCUAAUAUCACCUAAGUUGUUGGAUAGAAAAGUAUUUCCCAAACAUAAUGGCGAGACAGGCAUGAUUGUGAAGCAUCUUCACAACACAUUCAGACUUCAACAUAGUUUGCAGAUACAGUCCAUCAGUCGCUCAGAAUGUGCCACUGGCUCCUGUCCAAAUUUGAUGAUGAGUAGGAAUGAGCACCACGAGCCUCGGCCUGUCCCUGUUGCCCUCACCCCCCAGCUUGUCCCAAGGGCCCAUCGGCCCCUCUGCCUCUCCGUCUCCUCAGAUAGCAAUGGCCGCUUCAAAGCUCUGGAGACCCAAGAGUGGAAAAACAAUCUCAAAGCCCAGAGAAUUUGUCAGUACGUCCAACCGGCCUCACAACCCACGUGUAACCAUGCCAGCCGUGGACCGCCACAUCAGGCUUCUUCACCUGCAGGAUCAUCUGAAACCAGCCAUCCGGGCAGCUGAUGAAACUAUGGAGCAGGCCCACAGUGCAGGAGCAGCCAGCAGCACAGGCUCCCUGGAGAGGGCCUCGUUGUUUUGUGCCUCUGGUUCCACCACGGCCUCCAGCUCUGGCCUAUCCAGCCCCGUGGAGAACCUCACCAAGAGCAAGUCCUCCAGCCGCUUCUCCCUAUUUUCCCCUCCCUGGAACAGCAGCUCAGAGUCCGACUCCAACCCCCCCUCCCGCUCCGGCUCCAAGAAGCUGCGUAACUACAGCAUGAGGGCUGCCACAGGUCCGGCCGGGGUGGGGGCAGUGGGUAGGACGGGUCCACCAGACACCCCAGACACACCCAAACUGAACGUCCCGGAACACUUCCAGUACUCUGAGCCCGUCAUCUCCAAGGUGACGGACUACAUCUUCGUGGGCAACCUGAACGCAGCGUACAACGGGCGCACGCUGUGUCGCAACAACAUUGACAGCAUCAUCGACAUGAGCAGCAUGCCGGGGGACCCCGGCCCAAGCCUCAGCCUUAUCCCUUGCACCUGCUCCCGAGGCGCCCGCCACAGCUGGUCCCGCCUCAAGGUGGACAUCUGCGAUGUCCCAGACGCGCUGGGCGAGGGAAGCCCCGCCCUGAAGCAGCACUGCUUCGAGGACAUCAACGAGUGCAUCGAGGCUUCCACGGAAAAAAGGAAACGAGUGCUGGUCCACUGCCGUGACGGGUACUCCCUGGCUCCGACCUGUAUCAUCCAGUACCUCAUGGUGAAGCAGAAUAUGCGGCUGAUCUCGGCCUACGAGCUGCUGAGGGCCAAGUACCCUGUUAACAUCAGGGAGUGUCACCAGAAUGUCCUGGUGAGCCUGGAGAGAGCUCUGCGGCCUGGAGGCAACGUGGACCCAGAGUGCUUCAAGCAGGCCAUCUCAAGGAAAGUGGCCUGGACCUGACCUGGCUCCUCCCCCUCCACUCCACUCUCCCUGUAGUUUGGCCCUCUUUAUUUUUCUAAUCUAACCGUGGCAUUCAAUGGAUAUUUUUCUAUGGACAAUUUUUGAAAGGCAGCUUUACUUUCUGUCAUAGUCAACUGGAUAUGGAGAUGUUGCCACUAACAGUGAGCUUCAAACAUAUUUGGACUGACAUUUGUUGUUGUUUUGGCUCUGUACUCCAGCACUUUGGAGGUUAAAGUGCAGACUGUCAGCUUUAAUUUUAGGGUAUUUUCAUCCAUAUCUGGUGAACCAUUGUAGAAGUGUUUAGAAGCAUAUUUUAUUUACAAUAAAAGUGACUCCAAAAUGACACUAUAUGUUAUUUACCAUUAAUUUCUAUUGGGCACAAAAUUAUCUGAAACACCACCAGAACAAACAGCAAAUGCCUUCAACAAGUUUGUAGUCUCACAAGCUUGAUGUAAUCUUUGCGUGCUAGGAAUAUGGGACCAAAUACUAAACUUUUGACCAGUUUAAUACAAAUAUAAGUGAAUUUGUCCCAAUACUUUUGGUAUGUGCAAAAAGUGCUGUACUUUCUUAACAGUUCACCAGAUAUGGAUGAAAAUACCCUAAAAUUAAAGCUGACAGUCAGCACUUUAACCUCAGUCAUUGUAUCAUUUCAAAUCCAAAGUGCUGGAGUACAGAGCCAAAACAACAUGUCAGUCCCAAUACUUUUGAAGCUCACUGUACUUGCGACGCAUCAAAAUGCUUGUGAAAAUGUAAAUGCAAGUUGAUGUAUUUGUCCUCUUCUGAGCCCGUGAAUUUGACUUUGAUGUUUCUCCAUAAGCGAUUAGAUGUUUUACUCUUUACAUCUGCUAGAUAUGGAAAAUGUUUCAUUCUAGACUGUGACUUCAGGCUGAAUAAGCCCUUUGCCACGCUGGUUUUAUUGUGGCUGUGUUUUUAUUUCAGGGGAAUUUGAAUGGGAGUUCUCAGGAGAACUAAUGAUGAUGUCAUUCCAAUAUAGCUGCAAACACUGCUGAUCUAAUCUGAAAGCUCUGUGUGAAUAAUGGAGGACGUCACUGCUCUCUUGGAUCUACAUCGGCCAAUCACAGGAGCAGAUCAUUACUGUACUAUAUCAGCGACAUGCAGGGGACUUUGCACAUGGUUGCCGAUUUGUUGUUGUAAAUCCCUCCCUCACACCUCAAUUGGUCUGUGACCCUCCUGCCACAGACAGACAUGACAAUGUGGUAUCCUCCUCAGACAUUUUCCAUUAUGGUUCAGAAGACCAGGUGGAAGACAAUGAAUUAUCAUAGAUCGUCCUCUAUGAGGAAAACUAACUUACAUGACGUUCCCUAUCACUUUAACUCACCGUUGUAAACAUUUGCUGUGGUACUUCUUGGAAACUGUGGCUUUGUAAUUUCAGCUGUUGUGUAUGCAAUGAAAAUGGAUGGUCAGUAUCUAUCUCUCUGGAAUGUCAGUAUUAGUAUAUUAUAAAUCAGACUGAAUGGUGAUUCAAUGUUGUACUGCGAGAAAUUCUAUUGCACUACCUAAAAAGGUUCUCCAGAAAUGCACAGUUUGAUGGAUAUUAGUAAGCUGACAUGAAUUUAAACACAACUUUUUUAUUAUCAUUGUUCUGUGGUAUGGAAAUGUCUUUGUAAAAUUAUUGUUUUGAAGACUUUGUGCUCUAGUGUUCGAUUCAGUUAAUUUGGUCCCAAUAUUAUUCCCUUAAAGGGACAGUUUGUUCAAAAGUAAUAUUUCCAUUAUUUUACUUAUCUUGGAAGUAGUCAUAGACCAGUAGUGACUACGUCUAGGAUUAGGGUUUCAUUACUUUGCUUCAGCCACAACAGGCUAAAUGUUAGCAUUCUCUACCUCAACACAAGGGUUGAAUGUUGCCCACUUUAGAACUGUCUGAAUUGCAAAAUCAACUCAAAUUAACAUAACAUUGGAAAGCAAAACUUUCUCUCCAGGGAGUUGUGUAGAGGCUCAUAUGAUUUAGAAAAUAGUUACAUUUCUGUAAAAAAAAAAAAAGAAAUGUCUUGCUACAGUAAUUUAUCAUAUUCAUAAAAUGCCACUGAUCCAAUGUUAUUGUAGUAUGGUUAUGAUCAUAAACCACUAUUCUUUUAUCUGACAGAUUUAAUAUUAGAGUUGCUUAUUUUUGUCAGCAGUGGUUGUAGUACAUUUUUGUUGUUCUGUGACCAGUAUGGGUGGAAUGGAAGCUUCACUAUAUGAGUAUGGUGCCUUUGCUUGAAUUUGUCUUGUGCGACUGUACAGUGACACUUGCACACUUUGUAUGCAGUUGUUGAGCGUUGAUAAACAUUUUUCUACUUUAAAAUGUUGCCUAUUGAUGCUCUCAAUGUUUUUAAUUGGAAUACAUGAGGUAAGGAUUUUAUGAAAGAAUACAGUUAUGUGAAUUGGUUAUUGCUGUAACAUGUUUUGGUGGUCAGUGGGUGCACAGUCUUAUGUACUAUGCGAAAUGUGGAUGUGAUCAGGGUUACAGAAUGACCCUAACUUUCCCAAAAUUCCCAGGUGUUCCAGAAAUCCUGGUCGGAGGAUUCAGGAUUGUCUGUGUAUUUCCACCUGAUUCCUGGAAUCUACCAACUGGGAUUUCUGGAAAACCUGGGAAUUUUGCAACCCUAGAUGUGAUGAUUCAACAUUUUGUGCAAUACUGCACGCCAUACAAUUUAGGCCAUAGACGGAUGUUUUAACAUUUUCAAGGUGAAUAUACUAUAUUUAAAAAUAAACGGUUAUAUAAGGUUUAUUUGACCCUUGUGAUGGUGUCUUUGGAUCGUCUCUCAACUUUGGUUUGGUUUUACAACUUGUUCUCAGGUGAACUGUAUAAUGGCCCAGAAUGUUCUGACUGAACUGUAUAUGAAACCAGAAUAUGUGAAGCAAUGCAUUUCCUGUGUCGAGUUUUUGGUAGGUGUACAUAUUAAAAAAAGACGUUACAUCAUUG
rnacentral:lncRNA from 1 species